rnacentral:rRNA from 1 species
AUUGAACGCUGGCGGCAUGCUUUACACAUGCAAGUCGAACGGUAACAGGCCGCAAGGUGCUGACGAGUGGCGAACGGGUGAGUAAUGCAUCGGAACGUGCCCAGUCGUGGGGGAUAACGCAGCGAAAGCUGCGCUAAUACCGCAUACGAUCUGUGGAUGAAAGCGGGGGACCUUCGGGCCUCGCGCGAUUGGAGCGGCCGAUGUCAGAUUAGGUAGUUGGUGGGGUAAAGGCUCACCAAGCCGACGAUCUGUAGCCGGCCUGAGAGGGCGGACGGCCACACUGGGACUGAGACACGGCCCAGACUCCUACGGGAGGCAGCAGUGGGGAAUUGUUCGCAAUGGGCGAAAGCCUGACGACGCAACGCCGCGUGGAGGAUGAAGGUCUUCGGAUUGUAAACUCCUGUUGAUCGGGAAGAAUUCCUUCGGGGUCAAUACCUCCGGAGGGUGACGGUACCGGUUGAGGAAGCCCCGGCUAACUCUGUGCCAGCCGCCGCAGUAAUAC